UACAGAGGUCUCAAGCGUUGUUCGGAUUUAUUGGGCGUAAAGGGUGCGUAGGCGGCAGGAUAAGUUAGAUGUGAAAUGUCGAUGCUUAACAUCGAACCUGCAUUUAAGACUGUCUUGCUUGAGCGCUAGAGAGGAGUCUGGAAUUUACGGUGUAGCAGUGAAAUGCGUAGAUAUCGUAAGGAAGGCCAGUGGCGAAAGCGAGACUCUGGCUAGAUGCUGACGCUGAGGCACGAAAGCUGGGGGAGCAAACGGG
rnacentral:rRNA from 1 species